CCGUCGCGAAAGAAUAUACGCCUUAUAUACGCAUCUCGUGUACAGAUUUUACGUUGAAUUAAGAAAACGGUAGUUACGACUUUGUAAACGGCGACACGACGCGUUCCACAGACGCGCGCGGAAACUGUGUUUGUUGCAGACACCGUUGUCCGACGGUUUGACUGUAGCGGUAAAAGGGCUCGGACAAAACCGAGCGGAUUAAGCGAUUGGCCGCCUCUACCGGCCAAAACGAAAUUAGUAA